rnacentral:rRNA from 1 species
GGGUGCUCGAGUGGCGAACGGGUGAGUAACACGUGAGUAACCUGCCCUUGACUUUGGGAUAACUUCAGGAAACUGGGGCUAAUACCGGAUAGGAGCUCCUGCUGCAUGGUGGGGGUUGGAAAGUUUCGGCGGUUGGGGAUGGACUCGCGGCUUAUCAGCUUGUUGGUGGGGUAGUGGCUUACCAAGGCUUUGACGGGUAGCCGGCCUGAGAGGGUGACCGGCCACAUUGGGACUGAGAUACGGCCCAGACUCCUACGGGAGGCAGCAGUGGGGAAUAUUGCACAAUGGGCGGAAGCCUGAUGCAGCAACGCCGCGUGCGGGAUGACGGCCUUCGGGUUGUAAACCGCUUUCGCCUGUGACGAAGCGUGAGUGACGGUAAUGGGUAAAGAAGCACCGGCUAACUACGUGCCAGCAGCCGCGGUGAUACGUAGGGUGCGAGCGUUGUCCGGAUUUAUUGGGCGUAAAGGGCUCGUAGGUGGUUGAUCGCGUCGGAAGUGUAAUCUUGGGGCUUAACCCUGAGCGUGCUUUCGAUACGGGUUGACUUGAGGAAGGUAGGGGAGAAUGGAAUUCCUGGUGGAGCGGUGGAAUGCGCAGAUAUCAGGAGGAACACCAGUGGCGAAGGCGGUUCUCUGGGCCUUUCCUGACGCUGAGGAGCGAAAGCGUGGGGAGCGAACAGGCUUAGAUACCCUGGUAGUCCACGCUGUAAACGGUGGGUACUAGGUGUGGGGUCCAUUCCACGGGUUCCGUGCCGUAGCUAACGCUUUAAGUACCCCGCCUGGGGAGUACGGCCGCAAGGCUAAAACUCAAAGGAAUUGACGGGGCCCCGCACAAGCGGCGGAGCAUGCGGAUU